rnacentral:rRNA from 1 species
UGGGGAAUCUUGCACAAUGGGCGAAAGCCUGAUGCAGCCAUGCCGCGUGGAUGAUGAAGGCCCUAGGGUUGUAAAAUCCUUUCGCCAGGGAUGAUAAUGACAGUACCUGGUAAAGAAGCCCCGGCUAACUUCGUGCCAGCAGCCGCGGUAAUACGAAGGGGGCUAGCGUUGUUCGGAAUUACUGGGCGUAAAGCGCGCGUAGGCGGACUCUUAAGCCAGAUGUGAAAUCCCGGGGCUCAACCCCGGAACUGCAUUUGGAACUGGGAGUCUAGAGUUCAGGAGAGGUUCGUGGAAUGCAGAGUGUAGAGGUGAAAUUCGUAGAUAUUGGGUGGAACACCGGUGGCGAAAGCGGCUCUCUGGUCCGGACCUGACGCUGAGGCGCGAAAGCGUGGGGAGCAAACAGGAUUAGAUACCCCUGUAGUCC